rnacentral:lncRNA from 1 species
AUACCCACUUGUAUCAUUCAACUUCAGUCCAACUAAUCCAACAUUUUCAAAAUUAGAUUUAGUUUAUGGGCAUACUGCACACUCGUCUAUGUCUAGAGAAUGUACACAUACAAUUGAGAAAUAAAAACAAUUGAAUGAAACUGUAGAUUAAACUAAAUAUAUGCUUCAACCAUUAAAGAAAGUAAAAGUUUUCAUCAUGUAAUCCCAACCCUAUGAGAUUUAGCUCAUGAGUUGACAAUUAAAAUUCAAGUUCAAAAUAACACUCAACAUCGAUUUGAUCAAUUCAAUUUAUAGGAGAAGAAAUUAAGAAAUUAUAGAAGAACUUAGGAAGACGGUUGUCGCCAAAUCAAUCAUCAAUCCAGCAGUAUAGUGUCCUAUGGUGACUGAAAGGGACUGCCUUCGAUCUCCUCUUUUUGUCUCUACUCAGCUGCUACCCUCUAUUGUUGCCUACGGAUCUCCACACCUUUAGGGUUUCCUCCUUUGGCUUUUUAUAAGCUUUUCUUCCUAGGGCAACUCUAACAGCCCACGAUAUCUUCUCCUAUUUUUUAGCUAGAUUUUUCUAGUAUAAGUAGAGUUGGGCUGAAACUGGUCUACGAUGAGUGUUGACUCGGUCAUCUUCUUGAAAUUGCCACGGUAUACAAAGUGGCAAAUUGUCCAAUCUUUUGCCCUAGCAAACCAUCACUCAUUUAUUUUUUUUCUCCCUAUCCUGUACCUACUAAACCACCAAACACAACCUUUCUACACACAAUUAAAUGUAUCUAGCAUGUAAACACAGUCCAAGCUCCUAAUGAAAUGAUAAAAAUACUAAUAAAAUGUCCUAAAAUGCCACUAAAUGUACUCAAGUACAAGCAAUUAGCUAGGUCUAAGGGCAAGAAAUAUAACUCUUUUCAAGAGUUAUCAUGUAGCGACACCAUUGCCUUACGGGAAGAAAUUAGCUGCAGGGGUAGUCUUUUAUCCAACACCAUUCCCAAUCACAACACAGCUUCUAAGGGUAUUCUUGUCAACUUUUUUUUAUUGUAUUUAGAUGUUAAAAACCAUUUUUGGCUGAUAACUAAAGAGAUAACCUUUUGUCUUUAAUUUUUUUUUCAUCUUUUAAGCUUCGUAGUUAGUCUUCUUCAUCUUUUCUAGGGUUUAGUCUUUAGCUUUUCUGGUUUUAGUUGGUAGUUUAGUUAGUUUUUAUUGUAGCUUUGUCUUAAUUGCAAUUUAGUACUCAAAAGUCUCUUUGUAAUUUCAUUUUAAUCCAUAGUUGUUAAUAUAGCUUAGUUCCAUUUUUCUUUUCAUAGUUAAAAAUCUUAACUUUAUUGGUAUUGUCCACCACCAUUGUUGCUAUUAUCAUCUUCUUCAAGCAACUGUCAAGAAAUCACUAAGUUUUUUUUAACCCUAUUUUUUAUGCUUAUUUGAAUGUAUGCUUUGAAUGCAUGUUGAGUUGUUGCUUGUGUGAGAAUGAUGUUAAGUAAAUAAAUCUUUGGUGGUUCGAUGAUGAAAAUGUUGCUUGAUUAGUUUUUGGUAUAGGGACUAAAUCGUAAAAACUGGACUAAAUCAAAUAAACUUCAAACUUAAAAUUGACGCAUUUAGGUGAAUAUUUAGAUAGGUAAGACUGAGAGGAGAUCCUAUUGAGUGCUAAUUUGGUUGUCCUGAGUUAGUUUGGUGACGUCGAGAGAUAAACUAGACUAAAUCAUCUAAUUUGGUAAAAUUGUAAACGAAAAGUAAAACUGAGCCAAUUAGAAGUUUAAGCUUUUUAGGUCUCCCUAAUCAAAAGACUAAUUGGCAACACGGAAGUCAACCAACCACAACUUUUGUUUAUUGAAUUUUUAAUUGCUUAGUUUUAACUAUUUUACAAUUUGGUUCUUUUUAGUGUAGGUAGGCAAUUAGUGUAAUUUAAACUCGAUUGUGAAUUGUCGUAAUAUAGCCCUCAGUGAGUAGUUAGUUAGCCUUCUUGUUUGCAUGUUUGUUACUUAGGAAUCACUUUGUACCCGAACUCUCUUGGUUUCGAUCCUUGGAAUACUCGGGUGUUCCAUUGUAACAUAACAAAUAUUACAACUCGACCUGUUACACUUGUAGUAAACUGUUAAAUUAUAAUUGUAUUUCUAUUGAUUCAUAGCUCCAGUGCAUGCAUGUCGUGAUGUGAUCAAGUUGUUGGCACUGAUUCUAGGGAGUUUGUGUGUGAUUGAGUGAUUUAAGUGAUGAAUGCAUGUUUAUUAGGAAGAUAAUUAGCCAAAAGUUAGGUCUAUAGAUACGACGCUCUUCUUUCUUGCGUUUGAUUCUUUAUUUUCUUUGCUAAGUGUUCUUAUAUUCGUUAGUUUUUUUUAUGAUUGCAUCGUUGAUGUGUGACUCGAGGUGAUAACCAGUUAGUCCCAUUUGACCUUAAGCAGAAAAGGUUGAUAACGAAUGCUCGAAGGAUCCAACUUUCAAGGGAAACCCCACCAUCAAUAGAACCACUGAUUAUCGAUCCUUUGAUCGACAAUUCUAGAUUCAAGGAACCUCCAUUAGAUCUUCCUAACAUCGAGGAGUGUGCACGUCCCUUCCGCCCACGGUAAAUAGAGCAAUGGAUGUUGCAAGAUUAUGCCAUGCUGAACUUGGACGUGGUGUGAGGGAGCAUAAUGUUAGAGUAUGCCGAAAGAUCAAUCAUGAGAUGGUUGUAAUAAUAUACUUGAUUUAUCAUGUUUAUUAAUAUAAGGCGUUACCAUUAUUAUUUCAGUUUCUUUUCUGUGUAUAUAAAUAAACUAUUUUAUAAUAAUGUCCUGAGAAUAAUAUGAUUAUUCUUAAAAGUUCCUUAGUCAAGUAUUAUUGUUGGAUAGGACAACGAUAAUGCAUUAAGACUAACAUGUAGUUGAUUGAUGAUAAAGAGUUGUCAUUGAUAUGGAAUGUCAGAAUCAUUACAUGAAUAUGUGUGUUAGAGAACAACAUAUUGGACUGACCCAUUAUGAGUAUGUUUCUUGGAUUAUUAUGUAAUUGUCACGACAUUACUCAUAAUGAUUAAUAUUUAUAUGAUCCUCAGACUUGACAUCAUCAUAAUCCCAACAUCGUGAGUUGUAUAUUUUGAUACAGUCAAAUGUACACCGUAACUGGUUGUUCUAUAAAGACUGAUGUUGGAUAUACCACAAUCUAUGUAGAGGGAUAAGGUUGGUCGAUCUAGGAUAAGUCCCUCCUACAUAAUAGGAGUAAUAUCUUAGGCCACUUGAUUAAGUGAGACUAGAAAUGCAUGGUCAUCUCAAAUAAGUUGAUAUUAGAUGUCAUACUUAUUUGUAUAUCAUAGUCUGCUUAAGAUAUCAAUGAACAUGGAAUGGACAAUGCAAGUGUGACUAUUCCAUGACUUGUGUCCAAUCCAGAGAUAACAGACUUAAAGAUUAUUGCAUAAAAGGUUAAUCAUAAAAAAAAGGUUAUGUCGAAUCAUGAUCUCUUGUGACUUAGGUAGCAAUGAUGCAUUGCUAGAUGCCACUCAUUGUUUGUAGCAUUAGAAUCAUUCUAGUGUUACUGCUAACGUUACAGGAACCUACAGGGUCACACCCUAUAGUUGAAAUGAACGGAAUAAACCAUAGUUGGUAUUGUUUUUGGGGUCGCUUGAAUUAAAUUAAUUAUAGAAUUAAUUUAAUUCGGUAAUCAAAUUUCCAACACAUUAUGUACAAGGUUGUUGUAUGUAUAAUGAGGACAUGAAUUUGGUUAGCAUAAGAAUUCAAAUAAAUAUAUGGUUUACCGAACUUAUAUUAUAAUUAAUGUAAUUAUAAUUUUCGGUAUAAAAAUAUUAUUAUAUUUAUUUAAUUCCUAAGAACCCUAAAACAAAAAGAUAUAUAUAAUCCCGUUUUUCUUUGUUUGAGCCUAGCAACCGUAAAAAAAAAACUCUCAAAACUGUUUUAGGGAUUCCUUCCAUUCGUAGUCAACUGGGUGGAUUACGUAGAGGCCGGGAUCACGAUAGAUUGCGGCUUGGUUCGACAGCAGAUCAGACUACUCGUUGUUGAGGUGUUGCUGUCUACUCUGAAUAAACAUUAGGUAAUUUCGUAACCUUGAUCACCCCGAUUCGUUCCUCACACAUGGAUCCAUGGUUAGGGUCGUCGAUUUUAUUUUUUUUUCGCUGCGCCGUAGGGGUGCCGGCGAUCCAACACAUAAACCUUUCUACUAUCAACACAAACAAAUUUGAGAUAAAGCCAACAGUGAUACAAAUAAUUCAAAACAACCGCCAAUCUAGGGGCUCUAUGAAUGAAAACCCUAACCAACACCUCAAACGCUUCCUUACACUUUAUGACACUUUCAAGUAUAAUGGUGUAUCCGAUGACGUUAUAUGUCUUCAGUUGUUUCUUUUCUCUUUAUAUGACGAUGCGUUUAUAUGGUUGGAUUCCCAGUCAGUGGGCUCAAUCAACACGUAGGAUGAGCUUGGCAACUAGUUACUUGAUAAGUACUUUCCCUUGAGAAACACGAUGAAGUUGCAAAUGGAUAUCACCAACUUCUGACAACUAGAAGGGGAGUCACUAUAUGAAAUGUGAUAGCGCUUCAAGCUCAUGCUACGUAAGUGCCCUUAUCAUGACUUACAAGAUUGAAUUCAAUUACAAACUUUUUAUAAUGAGCUCGAUGGGAACUUGUGAUUUAGUCUAGACGAAGCAUCCGUGAGGGCGUUCAUGUCUCAGACAUAUGUUGAGGGUUGCCAACUCAUUGAAGAUAUGGCAAUUAAUUCAUAUAUGUAGCCGACUGAGUGUCUUGACACUAUUUUUUCGAAAGAAUAUCAGUGUUUAAAAGGUAUGUAAUCGGUUGACUCAUAGUUCUUAUUUAUAGAGAAACGGUACAAGAGUUUUGUUCAAAUAAAGUCUAAUUAAAUAAUAACAUUUUAAUAGAAAAUUCAAUGUUCUAGUAGAACUUGAACACAAAAGGCAAUAACAUCCCUAGUAAAUACUAAGUCCUAUUCGACCUUUCAUGUAUUAGGUAAAAUUAUAUUUGUUAUCCAGACUUUUAUCCAACACUUAUAAUUUAUCCAACCCAAUAAUUAUUUUUUAUUACCUAAAAUAUUAAUUAAUUAAUUAAUUCAUUAAUCAACUUAUCUAAAUUAUUUUUUCAAUUACAUGAUUUUCUUAACCCAAUUCUAAUAUUGUUAAAUUCAUAUCAACUUUACCAUAUUAGAAUCCAUGAGGAAAAUUAAUUACAAUCAAUUAAAUAAUACUUCAAAUAAAUUAAAUUAAUUUCUAAGUCAUCUUUUGUACUGAAUGAGAAAAUGCAUUCAUUGUGAAUAUUGAUACAUGUGAUCUAUUUCUCUUAUUGUUGUUAUUCAUUCCACAAUUUAUCAAUUCUACAUGCAAUUCGUUUCGGGUUAUCUCGAGCUAGCGGAAGGACCGAUUGAACAUAUAUAAUUAGGGAUCAAACAAUAUGUAAUUUAGUUCCAACACUUCGCCUAUUAAUUACAACUUAUUUAAUCAAUGAGUCAUUCCACUAUAGUAGCAAGACUAAACUCUCUCUUAUUAUAUUCCAUUACAAAAGCUAUUUUAUUAAGUGGUUGUCUAAUGGCAUUGACAUAAGUGUGUUACUCUCAUAAGAUAUCUUUAAUCUCUUUGGGGUAAAAUUCGUUCUCCCAGUAUGAUCCUAUUUUAUCUCAUAGUUUCCAUUACAUCUUCCAAUAUGAAAAAAGCCAAUUACUAACACAUAGUAAUUAAACCAUUUAUCUUAUGACAAAUGACCCGUGGCCAUGCUCCUUUUCAUCAAUCUUGUAAUGCUAAUGAGAAGACAUUAUUUACCCUUCAUUUGGCUAUAAAUUCCACUUUUGUGGAAUGGUAUUACAUCAUGCAGAAGCUGUAUACCCAACGUACAGACUUGUGGUUUUUUUAUCUAUUUGAACUCAGGCUUUCGUUUAUAUCAAAGUAUAUGAGUCACAAAUACAUAGUUCAUUAUCCACUCAGGAUUAAUGUAUGUCACAUUAUGAACGUCACAAGUGAAUAAAUCCAUAAACGAAUAUAGGAUAAAUUCAACUUGGGUCUUGUCUGAUGUAUUGUCUGUCCAAACAAUGGCAUCUAUGUCUCUGUCUUCUGGGAGUCGUCCACUCCGAUGCCCAAGAUAAUGCAUCUUCCUAAUUGGACUUGAUAAACUACAUCAUAGUCUUUCAAUCGAUUUGCUCAAUUUCGAUUAGAUUACUGGCUAUUAAGAUUAUCUACUAAUAUAAGUUGUCUUAUCGCAUUAUGAUCCUACCACAUAAUGCAACUUAAUAUUAGUUAAACAUUAAAUGAUAAUCAAUGUGCCAAUAUUUGCUUACAUUUUACUUUGCAUACAAAAAUUGUUAAGGACAUAUGCAAAUGAUAGUAAUGUAUAACGGAAUUUUAUUUAAACCAAUCUGUUUUAAAUAUUACAAACAUAAAGUGACGAAUAUACUACACUUAGGGCACUAGAUCCUAACAAUUCCCCAAAUUUGCUCCCUUCCAAUAUGCAAAUAUUUUUUGUGAUACUUAUCAGUGUUCUUUCUAUCUUCUAGAAUUUUUUGGACCAUCCUAAACUAAUGAAAUACCCAAUUACACCGAUGCCACUAAUGCAAGAGAAGAGUAUAAAUGUGUACACGUUAAAAACAUCAUUAUGAACAUCUGUGUCCAUUGGUAGUAUGAUAAUAAUCUCUUCCACCUGGUAUGACAUCCGUACAAACUGCAAAAUUAAUAAAAUAAUUGUAUUUUAAUUCAAUUGUGAUAUUAAGUAUAUCAUUAUAAUACACAAUUUAUAAAAUUAUUUAAUUCAACAUCAAUAUAUGCUCAUAUUGCUACUAUAUUAUCCUUCUAGUAAGUUGUAUGAUCAUAACGCUUGGACCACCUGUUAAAAUAUCAAAUGUUAGUACCAAUAUAAAAAUAUUUACAAUGUAAUAUAUUUUAUAACACAUGCUUUUAAUUUUACCAUAUUGCAAGAGGGAAUAUGAGAUUAUUAGAGGGGAUAAAUACUAUCCAUGGAAGUCUAUACCAUCCACACAAUUAUGAAAUCAUAAGACAACCAUUUCUUUCAUUAUUCUCCACUUAGCAUGCCUUACAUAUCAUUUUCGUAUAGGUAUGCCAAAAACAUAAAACUCUAAUUGUAUAGUCCAGUUGUAUGCUUCAAAAUUAGAUAACAAUUAGAAAUACACAAAUGAACUAAGUUGUUAAACUUUUCAGGCAUUAGCACACAUCCAAUCAACUGAAGAAUGUAAGCUCUAGCAUGAUGUUGAAUAUCUUUGAGUGUUGGAUUAUUUAAGAGAUGCUCAAAGCGACUCUUUAACCAUGUUAACUUAAUUUGCAAUCAAACUUAUGGUUUAUACAUGUUCCCAACAUUGAACAAGGACCUCCACCAGAUUGUACUAAAAUAUUCUCAUUAUUAGAUGCCUAUCCACUAGAAGACUCGUUAGUAACACUAAACAUUAAGUGUUAUUGUUGCUUCACUACAUGAAGAUGAAACAUAUGGGUCUCAGGUCUUUAUCAUUCAAUUAAAUAAAAAAUGAAUGUUAGCACAAAAGUAAAAUUAUUAAUUUGAUGUGAUAGAAAUCAUCUUUUAAGUGAAGAAUGAUUUUGUCAUCUAAUACAUUCAUCUCUACAUUACUAUGACACCAAGCCACUAGAAAAGACUCCAUUGUUGUAGUAUUUUAAGUAACAUAUCCUUCUUUUGAUCUCAAUAAGGGGGAAAUCAUUAUGGUAUGCUUCAAAAUUCGAAGUUACAAAUCUUGGGUAUAUAAGAUAGUAUAAAAUAUAGAUAAAGAAUAUUUUAGGUUUCUAUGAAAAUUAAACAAGUGGAAUGAAUUGUUUAUAGGUUUUAAGAUUAGAGCUUUUAAUAUGACCUCGAUAGCCCUUUAUGACGAGGUCUUGUUAAAUUUAUAAUUUUUUUAAAGUAAACUACACCAUUAGUUAAUAAACUAUGAGUAAGUUUUCGUUUUGGUCACAUAACUAAAAAAAGUUACAAUUUGGUCACUGAAGUAUUCAGAACUUUUCAUUUAAGUCAUUGGAUUGUUAAAAUCGAUGCUAUAUGGCUUUCUUUAUUUGCAUUGCCUACAAUAAUCGAAAGCUUUCUUUCCUCUUCUCUUUUACGGUUCAUUUUUUUAUGAAACAGCUUUGAACGUCACGAAUCUGCAAACCAAAAUUUAAAUAGCUUUUUUCUUUGAUCUCCGACACUGACCGUCAGAUCAACUUGGACCUAAGAUAUGUUCUUCUACUCGUCGAUGGGUACUGAUCCUCUGUACUAGCCAUUGAAUUGCCGCUUGGAGCUCGCUGGCGAAAGGUUUUUUUUUUUAAAGAAAAAUUUAGCAGCUUAAUGACUUAAAUGAAAUCUUUCAAAUAGUUCAACAACUAAUGGUUUAAUGACCAAAAUGAAAACUUACCCAUAGUUCAGUGACUAAUGGUGUGGUUUACCUUGAGGUGUUCAUGGGUUGGAUUGGGUUCAGGCUAGGCUUAAGCAUGAUAUUAACACACUUUAUACUUGCUCAAGCUUGGCCUGGCCUGAUCAUGGGCCUAAAAUUUUGCCCAAGCCCACCCAUAUUUGGAAUUAGUUAACCCAAGCCCAUUUAGGCACUCCCAUAUUUUUAAAAUAUUUAUUUUAAUUUAAUAUUUAAUAAUUAUAUACUUUUUUUAUUUAUUAUAGUUUUAUAUAUAGUCAUCUUAAUUUUUUUUGAUGUUUACAUUAUAGAAGUAUUAUAUAUUACUAUAUAUCUAAUUUUUAUGUGUUACAAAUUACAUAAUAUAUAAAAACAACAUAAUAUAAAAUAUUACAAACUUAAAAAACGGAUCGGGUUGAGCUUAGGCCUUAAAUGUUAAGCUCGAGCUAGACCCAUAUUUUAAACGAGCCUAAUUUUUUCUUAAACCCAUUUUUAGGUGUAAUAUUUUUACCCACACUAUCUCAAAAUUCUAGCAGAUUUUCAACUUUGGACAAGUUUAAGUUUAUUUAUUUUUUCAACAAUUAUGAUUUACUUUUUUAAAAAUUUACAAAUACUUUAAUUUUUGUAAAUAUCAUCCUUUACAAAUAUAUAAAUGAUUACAAUUUAAAAAUUUAAAAAUAUUUAUUUUAAUACUUCUAUACCAAAUUCUUUAAAAGAAAUUCUAAGAAAACUAAACAAAUUACAAGAAAAGAUAAAAUAUGAUUGUAGAAAGAAAGCAUCUCCUGUGCUCAACCUCAUCCAAACCAGUUCUGUUUUUACAGCAUCAUCAUUGAUUUUUAAUUUUGUCCGACUUUUGACUUUCACUCCAUCAGAAAUCAAAAUAAAGGGUGAGCACAAGAAAAGUAUUAUGAGGAUGCGAACAGCAUAUAGAAACUUAAUAGUGGAAGGCUAUUUUGUUCAAAGUGAAAGACGGGCAAAUAAAAAUAAUAAAGUCGAGAAAAAAGCCAAAAUGAAAUCCAAUUUUGAAGUCCGUCGUUCUGGACAUUUCCAAGAAGAUCAAAAACAGAACAAGAGCCUGAAAACUCUUUAGUAUUUCUCUACGGUUUCCCUCACCGUAACAACCCUGUGGCUGUUUUCUUUUCUUUAGUUUAGUUAGAUUUUGUAGAUGGGCCAAUCAGUUUCGGCGGCGAAGCUAAGGAACCGUCGAGAUUGGAACCAUCGCCAACGGUCAAAACCGAAAUCAAUGGCUCUGAUCUGUCCGAUGCAAGCUGAGGAAACUGAAGAGCUUGAACGAAGUAACACAGAUGGAUCGUCGGAUUUCAUCUCGGAUCUUCCUGACGAGUGUUUGGCUUGUAUUUUUCAGUCUCUUAGCCCCGCUGACCGAAAACGAUGCUCUCUAGUUUGCCGGCGGUGGCUUCUGAUUGAGGGACAGAGCCGUCACCGAUUAUCUCUCAACGCACAAUCAGAUCUGCAACCUCUCAUUCCUUCUAUCUUCUCUCGCUUCGAUGCUGUUACGAAACUGGCUCUGAAAUGUGACCGUAGAUCCGUUAGCAUAGGUGACGAAUCGCUUGUUCUAAUCUCCGAGCAAUGCCGGAAUUUGACUCGCCUUAAGCUCCGAGCUUGCCGUGACUUGACCGAUGCAGGAAUGUUGGCGUUCGCUAAAAACUGCAAGGGUCUAAAGAAGCUCUCCUGUGGUUCUUGCGCUUUCGGAGCCAAAGGCAUGAACGCUGUGCUCGACAAUUGUCUAGCACUCGAGGAACUCUCCGUGAAACGACUUCGUGGCAUCACAGACGGCGCUGCAGCUGAGCCGAUUGGGCCUGGGGUGGCUGCGGCGGCGUUGAAAACAAUUUGCUUAAAGGAGCUUUAUAAUGGGCAAUGUUUUGGUCCGCUUAUUAUUGGUUCAAAGAAUCUGAAAUCUUUGAAACUUUUUAGAUGCUCUGGCGAUUGGGAUAAGCUUUUCCCACUCAUAGUGGAACGGGUCGCGGGUAUGGUAGAGAUCCAUAUGGAGCGGAUCCAAGUCAGCGAUGUCGGUCUUGCGGCUAUCUCCAACUGUUCAAACCUAGAAAUUCUUCACCUCGUUAAGACUCCCGAGUGUACAAACGCCGGACUCGGAGCUGUUGCAGAGAAAUGCAACUUGUUAAGGAAGCUUCACAUUGAUGGAUGGAAAGCAAAUCGAAUAGGUGACCAAGGGUUAAUUGCUGUUGCGAAAUCUUGCCCCAAUUUACAAGAAUUAGUUCUUAUUGGUGUUAAUCCCACCAAACUGAGUUUGGAAAUGUUAGCUUCUAAUUGUCCAAAUUUAGAACGGUUAGCCUUAUGCGGUAGCGAUACAGUUGGUGAUGCAGAGAUAUCUUUUAUUGCUGUGAAAUGUAUUGCUUUAAAGAAGCUUUGUAUCAAGAAUUGCCCUGUUUCGGAUCAUGGCAUGGAAGCGCUUGCUAGUGGUUGCCCUAAUUUGGUUAAAGUGAAAGUGAAGAAAUGUAGAGGAGUUACUUCAGAAGGGGCAGAUUGGUUAAGAGCAACUCGAGGAUCACUUGUCGUUAAUUUGGAUAUCAAUUUGGAUAUGGGCGAGCAUUUAGAUGCAAGUGCCAGUGAUGGUGGGGCACAAGAUAAUGGAAUUGAAUUUCCUCCAAUGGUGGGCAGUCAAAUUGGAGCUUCUAGUAUUGCAUCGAGCAGUACAGGUCGAUCGACAUCAUUCAAGUUGUUAGGGCUUAUGAGUGGGAGGAGUUUUGUGGCUUGCACAUUAAGGAGGUUGGCAAGUAGUUCUCGGAGUUAACUCGGAAUUGCAACAACAACAAAAAGAAAAAGAGUGACAAUAGAAAGCACUCUUGGUAUGAACUGUUUACAUUAUUUUUCUGUUGGUAGUUCUCCCUUGUUUGUGUAUUUAAUUCAAUUCUGUGUGCUGAUGAUUGCCUUUUGAAUUCAAUCUUCAUCUUCAACAUUUUAUAGUUCUCAAUUUGAUCUGUUGGUUUGUAGUUCCUUUAUUUAGCAAGCUCUGUCUAUGUCUUCAUUCUUCUCAAACAUAUUUGUCCUAUACUGGAAUUUAAAGAACAUCUUUCUGAUUAAUUAGUUAUAUCUCUUUAUUUGGUCCGUGUUACAAAAUACUUGCAUACCAACAUGCAUGUCCUCCAAAUGCAUACUUGUAUCCUAAAAUUCUUCUUAUUAGAUAGGAGGAGGUUUGUUUCUCCUGUUAUAUGCAAUUUAUAUAUAUAUAUCAAUUGAGUUUUAAAUAUCUUAAUUGUUUGUUGCUGCAUGUUUUAAACAUGAUCAAUAGUAGGGAUCAGGUGUUGGAACUGAGAACCCGGUUAGACUUUUUGAUUUGCAAUAUGCAUAUCCUUAAUGCAAAUCAAAGCCGGAUUCAAACGCCAACGUCUUGAUUCUUUGGAAAAAUGAUUCUUUAAUGUUAUUUUUGGUUUGAUGAGAAAAGAUCUGAUGAAUGCUACCGCUGUAUGAAAUUAGUAAGUUCUCUGAUUUUUUUCUCUGUGAAUUGCUGUUAAAAUUGCUUUGAUGUUACAGAAGCCAAUUUUUAUGAUGGUUUAUUAUGAUGCUUCUGGUUGAUCAUAUUUUGCAAUGACUUGUUGAUCUGCAAUAUUAAGUGGUUAGGAAUUGAGCAGUUUAUCAUCUUUAAAUGGUUUAAUUCAUGCACCUCAGAUACACUUGCACUUUCAGGAGAGAACAAUUUUUUUUUAUUUAGUUUCUAUUACUGGGGACACAGUCACAAGUCUCAUGGUCCGAUUGCAUUUUGCCCCCUCUAUUGAAAAAAUGGGCUAAUUAGUUCCUAUAUCUUAGAUCAAAGAGCGAAUUUGUCUUUUUUGUUAAAUGUUUCACCCAUUUGUACUAUUAAAAGUUGACGUGGUUAACGAAAUAACUAAAAUGUCAAAUAAUGACAUAAGAUCUGAUUUUUUUCUAAUAAAGGAAUCAUUUUACUUUUUGAUCUGCCAUGGAUGGAUUAAUUUGUUUUUUUUUAAUAAAAGGGAUAAAAUAUAAUCUGAUUUUUAGGUUUAGUUUAGCAUUAUUUUUUAAAAGUGCUUUUGAGAAAAAAAUAUACUUUUGAGGAGAAGUUAAAAUUUUCAGUUUUUGAAAAAAGUAUUUUUGAUUAAUUUUUAGCUUGAGAGAAAUACUUUUUCUCUAAAAAAAAAGAAUAUUUUUAUCUCAAAAAAAGUGUGGGGGUUUUCAUUAUACAUUUACUUAAGUUUCUGACCAUGCAUUGGCAAAUUCAGGGUUGAUCUUGUUGAAUUGUUGGUUUGUGGUAAUGCAUUUAUUCUUGUCAGCUUGCCUACCGCUGAAUAAUUCCAAAAUAUAGGUGGUUUGAAAUUGCAUAUUCCAUCAAUGCAGAUUCAGGAUAGUGAAUGAUUUUGAAUUGGAGGCGUCCUACCCCUGCUUUCUGCCUUGGUGCUCCAAGUCUCGUAUUGUAUUAAUUAUAUUCCCGCCUAAGAAAUACAAAAUUUGAAACUUCUCAGAAAUUAAUGACGUUGCUUUUGAAACCAUCACAUUCGUAAAAUGAAUGUGAGUGCUAAUUUUUGUCACAUCUUGACAUUGUGAUAUAUUUUAAUGUUUAUAAUGAUAUAUAGUACAUAAACAUUGCAAUUUGAAUGAAUUGGAGAUUGCUUCCACAUCCACAAUCCAUGACCUAAUAAAGAUGCUUGCUUAUCCUGUUCUGUACCAACUAACCAUGUUUUUUUUCUUAAUUUGGGCCAAUUACUCCAUUUACUAUUUAAUAAUAAAAAUUAUUUAAUCUAUAUUACAUUCAAAAUCUUUGGCAAGUGAAUAGCAAUUCAGUAGAGGGGAAAAAGAACUAGAAUUUUGGAAGUAACAAAUUUUAUUUACAUCUUUCAAUAAUUCUCUAUAGGAAAGUUAAAUAAUUUAAACUACAACUUUUUUUUUAUUUGAAUGAUAUAAAUAAAUAAUGCAAAUAUGCUAACACAUAAUAGGUGUUGAGUUCCUUAUGGUUGCUCAACAACUAUCACAAAAUUUGUUGUGUAAAACAUCGUUAUGAACUUAACAUAUGUGAUUAUCAAGAUCAUGUUAUUUUAAAUUAUUCAAUCCAACUUGACACUUGACUUUUUAGGACUGUACUUUGUUAUUAUUGACGGAUUUGAUUUGAUAUAUUAGAAAUUCAACACCAUUAGGCCGUUUUGCGAUACAUCAAACUUGACAUCUACGAGUGUUAAGGUCAUGCUAUCUUAAGUUGUUCAAUCCCUUUCCCUUCUAAUAAAUUCUGCAAAACCAAUAACCAUUAUUCAUUCCAAAAUUCUUUCAAAAUCCUCUUUAACAUCUACAUACCCUAAACCAUUCGAAUUGCUUUCAAAAUUCGCUACAAGUCAUUUAUCAUGUAAGUGUUUUUUCUCCAUAAUUCAUGAAUUAGUGUUUAGAAAGUUUUCAUAAGUGAUUUUGGCAAAUAUUAAAUUAUUAUUGCAUUUACCAAUUAUUGAUAGUAAAUUUUUAAGUGUUUUCUAGCCAAUGUUAUGCUAUUAUUGUUGUUACUAAUUGUUGAAUAUGUUAUAUAUAUAUUGCUAUAAGUUAUGUGAUUGUUUUUGCUUGCUAUUGUAGUAAGUUACUGUUAAUUUUAUUGGAUUAUUUGUUAUCAAGAAUUGUUGAAGUUGUUAGCCUUAGUUGUAAUGUUCAAAAUUUAAUAUUUGACAACCUCAAAGAAAAAGAUGGUAGAUUAACUCAUGGCCCAAAUCCAUUUGAAGGGAUUUACUAUUUUCACCGAGGAAAGAGUUGUAUUUCAAUAUGAAGCUUGACAUUUAGGAAUCAUGUUACCUUAGAGUACAUGAAAUGGAGGAUUCUUAGGAAAAUUCAAGCAAGAGGUACUAAGUGGAUAUCCAAUAUGAAAUAUAAAUUCAUGAGGUCUAGUAGAAUGGGUGUAAGCAUUAUGACACCAUAAAAGUGAUAAUGUUGCCAUGGAGCUAUUAGUGGAGUUUUAAUAUGUUUUUGAUACUAGUUAUGACAUUUUGAAUUAUGCAAGCUCAUUGACUAUCCUGGUGCCGACAUAUUAUUUGAAGAUUCUAUCAAUGUCAUAUACUACCGGUAUCUUUCCCGAGUACUAUACCCAAGAGUCUAUGUGCCAUAUAUUCGUGAGUUGCAUGAAUAAACGAUGGUUGUUUCAUUGUUGGGAGGAUUUGAAUUGGUCAAAGCAAAUUAUCUACAUCUUCUGGUAGGUGACAAUCUCAAAUAAUUUGAGUAAAAAAUGAUGCACAACUAUCUUUGUUUAAGGCAUUUCAGAAAUCAAAGCAUCAUGAUAACGAUGUUGGUGAGCUCACUUGUAAUAGCCUGAUUUUCAGUGGUGCUGAAAAAAGUGAUUUCAGAACCUUAUUUUCGUAAACCAAGUCCGUAAAUAUUAAAUAUAAAUAUUUACGAAGUUGGUAUAUUAGUAUAUUAAAGUUUUGUUUGGCAAUUUUGUUAAAUUCAUUGUUAAUUUAGGUGCAAUGAUUAAAUUGUUAAAGUUCAAUCGUUAUAGGUUUUUAAUUGACUAAAGGCUUAAGGACUUAAAUUACAAUUAGCCAAAGGUCCAAAAUGAUAAUUAAACCAUUUUUCAUUAUGAAUUGGUGGAUGAUGAUGAGAGAUUCCAUUUUUUUAAUUAGUGGUUGAUUAAGUUAGUUAAAACAUAAUUAGCUUAAUUAAAUUAAGUUAAUUAACUUUUAAACAUGGUAUAAAAGAAAAAAAGUGGAGUUUUGUCAUCACUUCCAUCUUCCUCACUGCUCAUAGUAGAAAAACCUAAAGAAAAACCAUUUUUGAAGCUCAAGCUAUUUGAUCCCUAAUUGACAAGAAUUGGAUCAAACCAGAGAUAAUUGAGGAAAAGCUAAAAUUGUCGUUUAGUCCUUGAAGAUUCAACUUGUUUGGUGUUUUGACCAGGUAUGGAACUUAGUAUUCUAUUUUAAUUAUGUAUGAAUUAUACUUGAAUUAAUAUUUAUAUAUAAUUGUUAGAAUUGAGUAGAAUUAGAGAAUUGGCACAAAUGUCUUGUAUUAGACUGAAUUGUAAAUUCGUAUAAGUAUUGGUUGUAUGAAAAUAAUACAAGGUGUUAAUAUGAUCAUUGAUUGGUUAUAUGCCUCGUAAAUGAAAAAUGAAAUAUGUACAUGAUUUGAUAUUGACAUUUAUACGGAAGUAAUGCCCAAGUAAACUUAGUAAAAGGUUAAGAUACGUAUGACAUGCCAUUAGAGUUAUACACGUAUUUGAUUAGGUAUUUACAUGUUAUUACGAGAUCUAGCAUUUGUUACAAAUACCCAAGUUAAAUGUAUCAUAGAUUUAAUCGGAUGGGUAACCUUGAUAUAAUGUCAGCUUAUGUGAGCAAUACAUUCUCAUGUAUUCAAGUUCGUUUUACUAUAGUUCCAUCGGGUGAUGAUCAAUUGACUAGAAAUGGAAUUUAAAUCAUGAAAUGAUAUUGAUGAUACUUGACAUAUAGGUUGUUAUAUGAUUCUAUUUUUAAUGUUUUUAAUGUUAACAAUACUUAAGAUAUAUGUAUUAAUGUGCCAAGAAAAGUUAAAUUGGUUUCCAAAUAGAAUAAAUUAAUUAUGUCGCAUGACCAAGGUAUGCUUUAGUUUCGAUUUGAACUUACUAAAAAUUUUAUAUGCUUACCUCGUUUGUUUUCCCUUUUUCCUUGUAAAUAGUCACCUUGCGAAACACAUCAAGUUGGAUUGUCUCAAAACUCACACUAUCUCCAAUUCAGUAGCUAUUUGAUCAUUUUGAGUCAAGGGUUGUGGCAUGUAUAUAAGGUGUCUUAUGGUGCAUCUUAGUAUGUAAAUGUAUUUACUUAUAGCAAGUUUCUUUUUUAAUCUUUACUUAUCAUGUUGAUUUGGUGAUUCAAAUAAUACAUGUUGUUGGGCAUAUAUGUAUGUUUAUGCUAAAGAAUGUGAUGAACUAUAUUCAUAGAUUUGGCAUGUGAAAUGGCAUAGAAUGAAGUUGAGAUGGUAUGUUUGAUUGGUAAGCUUGAAAUAUGUAUUAGUGAAUAGAUGAUUUGGUUUAUGUUAGGGCAUAUAAGCUAUUAAAGUGCAAAGUGAAUAUAUGUGUAUGAAAUUAAGGUGAUAUAGCAUGUUUCAAAAUGAAACGACAUUAGUAGGGUUUGAUCAUUACAUGACUUGGUUGUUAGGAUAUAAUAGUAGUAAGAUGUUUUGAAUGGGUGUGGAUUGUUUGAUAAGAAGUUGAAAUUGUAUGUUUGAACUCAUAUGGUAUGUUUUCAUAGAUUUUGAGACAAUUUGGAGUGAAAUAUAGGUUCAUCUUUUGAAUGGUUUGGUUGGAAACUUUGAAAUAUGUACCAAAUGGUUCAUUUUUACCAAAAACAGGGUCCUUGUCUCGACGACCAUCUUUCCUUGUCGCAACAUCGGUCAACAGUAUGUGACGUCGCAGUGUCGAGUGGCUUGAGGUCGUGACAUGAAAAAUUGUUUGACAAUGUCACAAUGUGGAAAGGAUGAUGUCACGACAUCAAACUUGAACUUUUAAAAACUUUGCAAUUUGGUCCUAUUUUGAGUUCGGGUUUACAAAAGAACUUUCAUAAGCUCGAUUAAGACUCAAAAUUGAUUGUUUAAUAUGAUUUGAAUGUGAUUAACACUUAAAUUGCAUGUGUGAAUGAUUAAUUACUGCGUGUUUGUCUAUAGUUCGGACCUGGUGAUUAGGUCAGGCGAGGGGUGUUAUAUCACUAAAGUUGAAGCUGAAACCUAGGUUGAAGCCAAAUUCGAUAUUGAAGUUGAAUGUGGCAGUGAUCUUGAGCUGAAAGUGUUAAGAUUUGUUCCCACAGUGCAAUGAUUUGGUCACAACUACUUGUAAGUUUUGUAGAAAAAUGAUUGAAUAAAUAAAAUUACCACAUGUUCAUUUAGUUGAUCUUUAUAUGUUUUUACUCAAUGGUUUUUGCAUGAAAAACAAAAUGUUUAACAAACUUCUUAAUUACCUAAGGUUUAAAUACUAUUAAGUUGCAUUAUAUGGAUGGAUUAUACUGCAACAAACUUAUACUAGUAGGUAAUUUAAAUUAUUUGUAGUACAUAGAAUUAGAUUGAGCAGAUGAUUCAAAUAAUAAGAGACUAUUAUGUUUUCUAUAAUUCUAAUUGGAGAGAUAGCUUGCCUUGGCUAUCAAAGCAAAUUUGACUCCAAGAAAUAGACACAGAUGUGAUUGUUUGGACUAACAAUACAUUAGAUUGGAUCCAAGUUGAAUUGAUCCUAAGUUCAUUUAUAGAUUUAUUCACUGGUGACAUUCAUAGUAUGACUUACCUUAAUAUUGAGUAAGUGAAUAAUCAUGCAUACAUGACUUAUGUAAUUUAUAUAUUGAAAGCAUGUGCUUUUAUAGUAGCGGGUUGAACUAUGUUUGGCACAUGAGUUAUGCAUGACAUGACUUUACCCACAAUAGUGGAGCUAUAGCUUGAAUGAAAGAGUAAAUGACAUGCUCUCAUUGGCACUGUAUGGAUUUUGAAAAUGGAACGUGGACAUGAGUCAUUUGUCUGGACAAAUGACUAAUCAUUACUAUUUGUAAAUAAUGAUCAUUUUCAUUGUGGAAGAUACAAUGUUGACCAUAAGAUAAAAAUAGAUUGAAUUAGGUGAAUGAAUUUCACCUAAAGGGGUCAAAGAUUUCCUAUCAGGGUAACAUACAUAUGACAAAAUCAUUGGACAAAAUCUUAACUUAAAUAGCUUUCAUAAUGGUAUAUAAUGGAGAGAUUAUUCAUGGUACUUCUAGUAGAUUGAACUUGUGACUAAAUAACUAUGUAAUUAAUAGACGAAGAAUCGAAACUUAAUUACAAAUUAUCUAAGCCCUAAUUAUAUAUGUCCAAUCAAUCCAUCCUUUAACAAUCCAAAAUUUUGGUAUGUCAUCUGGCAUUGUUUCAAAAUCAGAUACAGUGAAAAUUCCAAGGAUAUUGGAAAAUGAUUUAGCUAAAGAAAGUUCAUGAGAGGAAAUUGAUAUUUGAGAUGGUAGUCAUGAAAAAUAUUGAGGAUGUGGAAAUGUCGCAAAAAAAGACCAAACUGUAAAUUUUAAAAAGUUGGAGGACUAAAGUGAAAUUUGACCAAAAAGAGAUAGAGAUUAUUAUUGACUAUUGUAGCAUGAGAAUAAAUUAGAAUAUGUAUUGGUGUGAGGAAAAUCAUUUUUGAGACUAAAUUGGAAAGACUGGAAAGUACAAAUAUUAAAUUAUAAAUUUUUUUUAUCGAGAGAAGGGUGAAAGUGUAAUUUUCACCAUCCAAUGAUCUUUAUUAAGAUUUUAAUUCUGAAUUAUGAGAUUUCAAUAUUUUACAUGUCUAUUUGUUGAGAAGAAAUUGUACUAAGAGGCAAUAAGGGAGAUAAUGAUAAUUUUACCAUGUAAGAGCAUUUUGAUCAUUUCUCAAGAAUUUUAUAUUGGAAGUAUUAUUUUGGCAUGAUGUUAUUAUAUUGUGAUCUAAUGUUAGCCAUUGGAUGUGAAUGGAAGGGAGACAACAUGUUAAAUAUAUUUUUACAUAAUGUCAUUAUAUUUUAUACAAAUGAUUGGGUUAGUGAGAACAUUAAAAAAUACUCACAAUAUUAAGUUUGAUAAUUUGAAUUGGAUCACACUCUUUUGUAUUCUUUGCUGGAAAAUAUGGAAGCAAAGAAAUUUGCUUGUGUUUAGGAGAGACAGAACAUUGUGGUUCUUAUAACACUCUUGCGCAAGGCGUUGCUAGUUUAGGCAAAGUCAGUGUUCAACAGUCGUGUUACGAGUAGCCAACAGGCUAUUAAAACUGAAAAGCUUGUUGGAUGGUCAGCUCAUGCAUUUGGUUGGGUUAAAUUGAAUACAAAUGAAGCAUAGCUUCAACAAGGGGGUAUUGACUGAGAGACUCCUCAGGUCGAUGGCUAAAGGGAUACAAUCCGAACACUGGUUCUUGUUCAGUUUAUCAGAGAUGGGUUUUUAACUGGAAAUCCAUAUGCCGAAUGAGAAGAAUGCUCCGGUUAGGAGUAUUAACAAACUCUGCAUUUAACCAUCUGUAAUAUAAAUGUUCUUAGACCUUAUUUAAUAACUGUUGCACUUACUUUAAUUAAUUAAUUUAAUCUUUUAUGCCAAACAUAAUCCAUAAUUUUUUUUUUAUCUCUUCUUUACCUAAAUGAAGAACAAGCAGUUAAUUUAAUUAAUUGCACGGAUUUUUUUCUUUUUUUAACUUAACAUGAAAGAUUCGAGAUUAUAUAAUUAAAAGAAUUUUAAGUUCUGUAGACAAUUACUAAAUAUGAGUUAUUUGAGUUGAUUUCGUUAUUUAUAAUCUAGAAACAUAAAAUUUAAUUUUAAAAUUUAGAAGGAAAUUUAAUUAAUUUCAAUAUUGUAGUAACAAAUCGGUUGACAUUAUCAAGAGAUAAUUUUUUUGAAUAAAUUAUUUAAUUGAUUUUGAUGUUUUGAUUUCUAAAAAUUCAAUACUUAAAAAGGAAAUUUAAAAUUUUCGGAAAUAAAUUUAAAAAGUAUAAUUUGACAAUUUUUUAAUGUAUUAUUUUAGUUUCUUCUGAUUUUUCACUUACCUUAAUUUUUUAACCCUGAUUAAUAUGUUAAGAAAAGAAUGUUUUUUGGGUGACCAAAGUGAAAGAGACUUAGAAGUUGGGUGACUAAAAUGAAAGUGUGAGCAUGAUGUGGCAUGCACUAUCCAUGAGUGUUAGAGAUUUAAUGCUUGAGUGACUAAAAUGAAAACACACUAAAAAUUAGGUGACCAAUUAGAGAAUUUGCCCUAUUUAUUUUAGUAAAGUUACUUAUCCUCUAUCUCUAUAUAUAGAAGUAUUAUAAUCACUUUUAUCUAUUCUAGAGAUAAGAAAAUUUUAAUGUUUUUAUUAGAUUUUAUUUUAUUAUAUUUUCAUCCAUUCAUAUGUAAAGAUUUGUUUUUUUUAUAUCAACUUAAUAUAUAUUCAUGAUUUUAAAUUCAUACUAAAAUAUGUUUUACAAUAUAUACAUUAAAUAAAAUUUUAAUUUAAAAGUAAAUUAUUUUUUAAAACCUUAUUGAUCACAUAUAAAUAUUUUUUUAAGUAAAUGUAUUCUUUUAUUCUUUCAAUUAAUAGUAUAUAUAUUUCUUUUUUAUUCUUUUUAAUUUCACAUUUUUUCUUUAUUCUUUUUUGUAUUUUCAUCUAUAUGAUUUUAUAUCAAUAUAUACAUGUGUGUGCAAAAAAUUAUUUUGAUUAAAAAAGUUAAUUUUCAAGCAUUUUAUGAUUGCUUAACAUAGAAUUUUUUCAUUUAUUUAUUUAAAUUAAAUUUAGUAAAUAAUUUUAAAGUUUAUUAAGAUAGUAUUUUAGGAUAAUAUAUCUUAGUUUAUUUUUUUUCCAUUUUUAUUUAUUAAUAGUUUUAAUAAAACAUAUGUUUCAUUUUUAUAAUUUUAUAAUUUUAUAAGUUUCAAAAGAUAAUGAUUUUCAUUUAUUUAUAUUAAAUUUAUUAUUUAUUAAGUUUUUAUUUUAAAUAGAUCUUAAACUUGAAUUAUUUUAAACAUUAAAAAAACUAAUUACCAUUGAAGAGGUAAAAAAUUAAAAUUAUAAAUAUGAGAUUAGUGUUUUACUUUAUGACAAUGAAAAUGAUUUUGCUAAUAGAUAAAUUUUUUAUUAAUAUAUACAUAUAUCUAAUGAUUUUUUUAAUAAUUUGUCUUUUACACUUUGAAUAUUUUUACAACACACCUUUUAAAAUAUAAUUUUCUAAUUAUUAUUUAAAAUUUAAAUUAAUUCUAAUUACUUGAAAUUUAAAUUUACUUUUAUUAUUAGAUUAAAUUUCUUUUAAAUUAUUUAUAACUCAUUCAUAAUCAUACAUUUUUCUUAUAUUUUGAUUAAACAAUAAUUUAUUAUAAAAUUUUAUAAAAUUAAAUAAUAAUUUUGUAUUUAUUUUCAUUUUUAUCAUUAUUUAGAUUUAUAUUUAUUUUAAUAUUAAGUCACAUUUUAAAUAUUAUUUUAUAAUAAAAUUAAAUUUAUUAAUAUUAAUAAUGUAUUUUUGUUAUACUAAAAAUUUUUAGUUAAAAUUUUAGAAUAUAAGAUAAUAUUUUAAUUUUAGUUUUAUUUUAAAUAAUUUUUUAUUAUAAUUUUAAUAAGAUAAAAAUUCUUCAUAGAAAUAUAUUAAAUAAACAACUAACACAUGCAUCAUGGAUAACAAACUAGUUAGAAUAUAAUUUAAUUAAAUUUUAAUUUGGUAAAAAUGAAGAAUUAUUUUAAAACUGUUAUGAUUAUUAAGUGGAUGUCCAUCAAGAUUAAUAUAAAUUUUGAUGUAUUUUAAAUUCUAAUAGUCAUUAAAAUUAGAUCUCUACUUCAUUUAUACUUCUUAUACCUAUAAAUAGAGACUUUGGAGAAGCUUUGUAAAUAUUUUGAUUGAUUAAUAAAAUACACUCUCUCUUCUGCUCUCCCAUUCUCUUUGUUCUUUAUUUUCUAUCUUUUUAUUUUAUAACAAGUUAUCAGCACGAUCUUACUCAAAGUGAUAAAACCUUUUAUCGACGAUCAAAUUUAUUCUCCAUGAUUUUGUAACAUCCCGAUUUUGGGCCUGGUCGAAACAGUGGUUUCGAGCCCACAAAUCCGAUGAGGAAAAAUUUAUUUUUCUUAUAUUUUUAUGGUCUACAAUUUCACAAAAUGAUUUCGUGAAAAUUUUGUUUGAAAAUUUCGACGUUUGGGCACUCAAUUUAGUCAAAAGGACUAAAUUGUAAAAAGUGCAAAAGUUGAGUUCUACAUGUUAGAGGUGCCCAAUUGUUAUGAAAUUUUUAAUUGGAGGUCCUUAUAUGGUAAUUAGACCAUUGGUUAAGUUGGUAGACAAAAAUGGACAUGGUUAGGCAUGUUUCCAAAGUUUUUCAUUAAGGGCAUUUUGGUCAUUUAGUUAUUAAAAUGAAUUAAAAAAAUUAAAAGCCAAUUUUUGUCCAUCUUCAAUUCCAUGGCCGAAUUUCACAAGGGGAAACCAUGGCCAGGGUUUUUCAAGCUUCCAAGCUCGAUUGUAAGUCUGUUCUAGCCCCGUUUUUAAUGUUCUUUACGUUUUUGGAGUCUCGGUAACUUGAUUUAGCUUAUUCUAGUAAUAAUUUAACCUAGGGUUCAUAUUUGGAAAAAUACCCAUAGGUGAAAUGUGUUUAUUUUGAUGUUUUAUGGUAGAAUAUGAAGUUUGAAAUUAUGUUAAACAACUUUUGCUAAGUGAUUUUAAGUGAAAACGAGUAAAACGACAUAAUCGGUAAAAAUACCUAAUGUUCAUAAGUAAGUGUUAGAGUGGGAAUUUGAUGUUGCCAUAGAAGGGAAAAAUGUUCAGCAUGUCAUAAAAAAUAAGAAUAAGGGAUGAACUUUAAUUUCCGAGCUUUGGGACAAGAUUGUAAAUAUGCAAAAGUUUAGGGGUAAAAACAUAAUUUUGUCAAAGUUUGAGUUAAGGAAUGUUUUGAUGAAUGUGAGUAUUAAAUAAGCAGAAUUUUCUAUUAUAGAUCAAGAAGAAUAAAAUUCGGAGUUAGACCGGGGAAAGAAAAAGGUUGAGGACUAAAGUGCUAGAUUUGAUCAUAUUUUGUACCGAGGUAAGUUUACGGUAAAUAAAUGAAAUAUUUUGAUAAUUAUUAUUAAUGCUGUUAUUUUUCAUAAAUUAUGUAUUUAUUUCAUGAAAAUAUCUAAUGUUAACUUAAGUAUGAGAUGACAGAGAAUCAGUGUUAAAAGGCCCCGUUGAAACAUGAGGAAUGUAUUGGAUACAAAUGUCAUGACAUUUGGGUAAAGAGAUCCCAUGUAAGACCAUGUUUGGGACAUGGCAUUGGCAUCAUUGAGAUUAUGAGAGGUCCCAUGUAAGACCAUGUCUGGGACAUGGCGUCGGCACCGAGAUGAGAGGUCUCAUGUAAGACCAUGUUUGGGACAUGACGUUGGUACCAAGAUGAGAGGUCCCCCGUAAGACCAUGUCUGGGACAUGGCAUGGGCACCUAUAUGAGAACUCUCAUGUAAGACCAUAUCUGGGAUAUGGCAUUGGCAGUACAAGAAACAUCCGAUGUAAGACUAUGUCUGGGACAUAGCUUUGGCAUGUUAUAUUCAGACAGGAGACUGAGUAUCCUUAGUAUUCUAAGUGAUUCAACGGGCUAAUAAAUAGACGAUGUUACAUGAAAGUUCAGGUAAAAGCCUAAUAGACAAGUUUAGGUGGGUUAAUAAGAUUAAGAGUAUCUCAGUUAUCAGUUGAGAAAAGAAAUUUCAGCAACGAAGGAGUAAGUUAAGCAAGCAAGUAAGUAAACGAGUAAAAGAGUAAGUAAAGAAGAAAGUAAAGAUCUUAAUGCUUAAUAAAAAUUUAUGAAUAUAAUUGUUUAUGAUAAAUGUUGUUAUUUAUUUACUUGUAAACUUACUAAGCUUUAUGCUUAUUUCUUUUAUUUCUUUUUCUUUCAUAUAGUAUUAUCAAGCAUAGUCGGGAUCUUGAAGACGUCGGAGAGCGUUCACACUAUCAACCACCACAACUCGGUAUUUUAAGACGACCAAUGUUUUGAGCUAUGGCAUGUAUAGGGACUUGGUCAUUUCGAUUGUAUAUUCUUAAGAUAUGACCAAAAAAUGAUAUGUAAAUAUUUGAUGAUGAAUAUUUAUUAAAAUGACUAAGUAUGAAGGUGUUUGUUGUUAUAAAUGUCUAGGUGAUAAAUUAUGCAUAGAAAUCAUGAAAAAGUAAAAAUUGGUAGUGAAUCAGUUUUGAGACACCAAUAAUAAUGUGAAUUUGAAAAAUCACCAAGGAUAGUAGAAAAUGAAUUAGAAGGUGGAUAAGAUAUAUAAUUAAAUUUUAUUGAGUCUAUUUUCAUAGAAAAAUAAUGGUGUAGACAAAGGAAUUAUGUAUUCUGAGAUAUUUGCAUUUUAGUUAGACAAGGUCAAAGUGGUUUUCAGAAUCCCCUAUUCUGACUUUGGAAAAUAAUUAAAAAUUGUACAAAAAUAUUUAUGAGUUUUAAUUUAUAUUUCUAGAUUCCUUAUUGAGUCUAUUUUCUGUAGAAACAAGUGAGAACACCAUAUGAAGUCUGUACAAUGAGAUAAUUGAAUUUUAGUGACGAGAGAUCAGGACAGUCGAUAAGUGAAACAGGGGAGAUUUUAACUAAUAAAUUGUACUAAUUUUCUGAACCAAAAAUUAUAAAAAAAUUUAUGGUAAAAAGAUAUAUGAGUCUAGUUUCAAGGAAAAUUUACGGAUCUAAAUUUCGAGUUUCGUAGCUCGAGUUAUAAUUGAUUUAGUGACUGCUGCGCAGGUGGACAGCCUUAUUAUGAACAGUGAAAUAGCUUUUAAAAGUAAAUUUUUAUGCCCCGAACUUUUAACUUAAGUCAAGUAAUGCCUCAUGCUCGACUCCGGCAACGGUCUCGGGUAAGGGGUGUUACAGUUUUCCAAGAUCUUAGAGGGCAAGAUGCAAAGGUUUUGCAGGAAGUUUCUUUUAUUUAAUGUUUUAUAUUUGAUUAUUUUUAGAUAAUUCAUGAUCAAUUAUAAUUAUUUUGAUUAACUUUUUUUAUUAUUAUGUUAUUAAGGAUGGUGAAUGAUUUGAUAUCGUUAUCUAUAUGAAAUUGUGAUUGGAUUCAAAGUCUACUAUUGGAGUUUAAAUUUGAUUACUUCUUGAUAAAAUCAUUAAGAAUUCGUUGAACAAGAAAGGUACAUCAACGUAAUUACAUCUCUAUAUUUACACUUUUUCUCAAUAAUAGCAUCUUUAGAUAUUAAAUUAAUUUGAUAUAUGGUUUAAAUAUUUGAGAUGAUUUUAUUUUAAGGUUUGGUUCCAUGGGUUACUUAUGGUUUCAAACAUCUUAUUUAUUAAUGAAAAUGAAUAUUGUUUGACUUCUUUAUGUUGUUAUAGUAGGUUUUAUAAUUAAAUAAUGUAUUUGGCUAAAAACAUAUUAGUAUGUAAAUUUGUGUUGAAAAACCUAUGAAAUUUAUAAUUGUUCAGUUUUGAUUUAGUUUGAAUAUAAAUAAUGUUCCAUUAAUGUCUCUUAUUAUUUUGGUUAUACGGUUUGAAAUUUUUCAAUACUCAUACAUGCAUAGUUCUAAACACAAUUUUUUGAGGAAUGUCUAAAUUGAUUUUUGGGUUGGUUCUAAUAUUGAGUUUCAAGUUUAAUUGUUGUCAUUUUUAAUUCUUAAAUUAUUUUAGUUGAAAAUAUUUUCAUAAACUUAAAAAUAAGAAUUACUAUAUUAAUUUGACUGUUUGCAUUUCUAUGAAUCUCGUUUGUAUUAACCAAUUUUUAUUUGAUAAGAAGCAUUAAAACAACUCAUGUGGUUUGAUUUUUAUAAAUACCUUAUAUGUUCUUACUAUACAACCUAGAGAAACUUGUUACUUUCGUAAAGUUGUUAAAGGUGGUUCAUACUCUUUAUAUUUGUUAACUAUUUAGAGAAAUUAUAUGAACAAUUAUAAAUGGAAAAGUUUUAGUGAGCAUGAGAUGUAUGAUUUUGAAGUAAAUUUCAUACAUGUCUGCAAUGGUUUAUGAAUUUUUUGUUGGCACUAGCAUUAUAUCAAGUUUGAUAUUUUAAAUUUCAGUUUUAUCCGUACAUUUGAUUUGCAAUAAACUCCAUGUAUGACUUGGUUAUUUCUUUCUAGUUAAUUGAUGGUGAAAAAACUCUAAUGAAAAGGGCUUAGAGGUAUUUUCGAUUGAUCUAAUGCCUUCUUGAAGCUAAACAAAAUAAUGAAUUAUUUGUUCCACUGAUUCUGCUUCAUUUCUUGAAGUGAAUGUAGCAAUAUAUAACAAUUAUAAAAUGGAAUCUUUUGUCAUUAUUGACAAAUAGAUGAAAAGAAGAUGGAUAAUUCGAAAUGUUGCUAAUUGUUUAUUCUUAGGACAAAAUGACCAAUGAUUCAUACUAAUUAAUCAUUCCUUGAAGCGAAUGAUAUCUAUAUAAUCUUAUUGGUAAGGAAUAUGAUAUAUGCUUACAUUAUUGUUCAAUUUUUUUUGUACAUUCCUUGAAGUGAAUGUUUGCAAUAAAUAUAACAAAUUGUAUAAUCACUUUUGAUUAUUAAUGUCAAUUUGAACAUUUGAAGAUCUUGACAUAUUCCUUGAAGUGAAUAUUGCAAAUAAUUGUUUGCAAAUUAUAUUUCUUUUAUUGAGUUAAUAACAUUAUGGACUUCACAUUGAUGUAGACAUUUCCAGAAGUAAAUGUCAGAAUAGUACUUAUAUGUAGAUACAAAGUAAAAAGAAUGACAGUAAAAUUAUCAAUUUGUCACAAUUUAUAUUGACAUUAAUAGUACAAUUGAAACACAUGUUAAAGUAAACCAGAAUUUUACUGAUAUAAAUGCAUUUACUACUUGGCGUGAUCAGUUAGACCAUCAUGGAUUAUAUAUGAUGCGUAAAUUAAUUAAGAAUUCAUAUAGACAUUCAUUAAAGAACUCCCAUUUGUUGCUUGUUCUCAAUGAAAACUGAUUGUUAGAAACUCACUAGCUAAAGUUGAGAUUUAAUGUCUUGUAUUUCUGAAAUGAAUAUAGGUCCAUUCAUCCACCAUGUGGAUUUUGAAAUUAUAUGAUUUAGGUAGAUGCAUCUACAAAAUAAUCACAUGCGUUAUCAACUCGCAACCUGUCGUUUGUGAGAUUUCUUGUUUAAAUGAUUAAUUUUAGAUUAUGCAAUUAAAACAAUUCAUCUUGCUAAUGUUGGUGAGUUUAUAUCCCAAGCUUUCAAUAAUUAUUGUAUGUCAAUCGGGAAAAAAGUUGAACAUUCCUGUAGCUUAUGUUCACACAAAAAACGAUUUAGCUGAAUCGUUUAUCAAAUGUCUCCAACUAAUAACUAAAUCAUUACUUACGAGAAUAAAACUUCCUAUUUCAGCAUGAGAUUAUAUUGAUUUACAUGUUGUACGCAUCAAGCCAAUAAAUUAUAAAUACUUCCCUUUACAAUUGAUUUUUGGUCAAGAGCCAAAUAUUUCCUAUAUCACAAUUUUUAGAUGUGCGAUAUAUGUUCCAACUGCUCCACCAUGACGCACAAAGAUGGGUCAUCAUAAGAGAUUGGGAAUGUAUAUUUUAUAUGAGUCUCCUUAUAUUAUUAAAUAUUUUUGAGCUAUUAAUUUGAGAUUUAGUUAUGACAUGAGUUGUCAGUUUUCCCAACAUUAGGGGGAGAGAAUAAAAAGCUGGAUUAAUAAAGUACUUGAAAUGAAUUAUCAAAGUCUAAGAUCCUCGUACAAAGCAAUAUGAACCAAAAGUUCAACAGAUAAUUAAUUUUACAAAUCAACUGUCAGAUUCAUUAAAUCUCACAUACCAACUGAAAAUGCUCCAAUAUGAAUUGAUGUCCUAAUAGGGCAAAUUGUUAGUGCAAAAGAAAGUAAUCCACACCUGAAGCGUGGAAGACCGGUCGGUUCCAAAGAUAAAAAUCCUCGUAAAAGAAAAGAAGCAAACAUUCAAGAUAGUCAUGUAGUGGAGACAGGGGUUCUUGAAGAGACCCAUGACAUAACUAAUUAUAAAACUUAAGAAGAGAUUUAGAUACCUAAAAGUGAGAAUGAAAAUGAUCAAAAUAAAGAGAUAUCGAUAAGUUAUGUCAAUACGAGAAAAAGAAGGAACCGAAAAAAAUGUAGUUGUCGACAACAAUUUUGCUUAUAAUGUUGUCAUUGAAAUAACAAAAGGAAAUAAUGAUCCUAAGCCUAAAUUAUUGAGAAAUAUAAAAAUCGAAAAGAAUAGCCAAAAUGGAAUGACGUAAUUUGAGCAAAAUUGAAUUCACUUUCAAAACGUGAGGUUUUUGGACAUGUAUCCCAAACACCUAAAGAUGUAAAGUCGGUAGGAUAUAAAUGGGUAUUUGUGUGAAAACUAAAUGAAAUUGUGAAUUCGUAAGAUAUAAAGCUUGACUUGUAGCAUAAGGAUUUUCAUAAAGGCUCGACAUUUAUUACAAAGCGACAUAUUCUUCUGUGGUAGAUGCAAUCACGUUUAGAUGCCUUAUUAGCUUGGUAGUACGUGAAAAACCUUACAUGCAUCUAAUGGAUAUUGUUACAUACUAUUUGGAUGGUAGACUUGAUAGUGAAAUUAAAAUGAAAAUCUUAUAAGGAUAUAGAGUUUCUUGGGAAAAUUGCUCGAUCAGACUAAAGAAAAGUUUAUAUGGAUUAAAAUAAUAUGGGUGUAUGUGGUACAAUCGUCUUAGUGAAUAUUUGUUGAAAGAAUGUUAUAAAAAUGAUCCAAUUUGUCCAUGUGUUUGUAUAAAAAGGUUUGGAUCGGAUUUUGUGAUAAUUAUUGUUUAUGUUGAUGAUCUUAAUAUUAUUGAAAUUCCUAAAGGGCUUCAAAAUGCAGUAAAUUAUUUAAAUAAAGAAUUUGAGAUGAAAGAUUUUGGAAAAAUAAUGUUUUGUCUUGGCCUGUAAAUUGAACAUUUAAAAUAUGGAAUUUAUGUCCAUCAGUCAAUUUAUACGGAAAAGAUCUUAAAGAAGUUUUACAUGGAUAAAGCAUGUAACAUCCCCACUUUUAAAAAAGAAGAAGAAGAAUAUUUAUGGUAGAAGUUCUUGAAUAAAUGAUCUAUAAAUAAAUAGUAGUAUAAAAAAAAUUGUGAUUGUUUUUAGAGGAAACUGUCAGACAUGAAAACAUAGAGGAUUAUUAGUAGGAGUAUGUGGUUAAUUUAAAAAUUCGGUAUCGAGUUCAGGGAUUAAAUUGAAUAAAUUAGAAAAGUAUAGAGACUAAAGUGCAGUUAUCUUAUUUUAUUUUUUUGGAAAGGACUUAAUGGCAAUUUUUCCAUUACUUAAAAAAAUAAAAAAUCUCAUGAUGGCUUUAAAUGAUAUUUUCAUUAAAUAAUUAUUAUUUAACAUUUUAUUUAAAAUAAUAGUAAUUUAUUAAAUAUUAUAAUAUAUAUAAAGAGAGAAAGAUUAGUUUCUUUCUCAUCUUUCUCACGAAAGGUUGGGAAAAACAAAACAAAACUUCUUCCAUUAUUUUCCUUCAAAUUCAAGUAUCAGGUAUGGUUUUCUUCAAAUUUUUGUUAGAUUUUGAAUUUUUAAAGCUUGCUUUACAUAUAUAUACCAAUAGUUUUUUUUUAUCAAAUAUUUUGAAAGUUGUCAUUAAAGGACAUUGAUGGAACCUUAAAAAAAUUAAGUGAAAUAGAUAUAUUUUUGGAUAGGAAAUAAUUAGAAGAUGAGUUCUAGCUUGUUAGAAGUGUGAAAAAGAAACAAAAAUGGAUGAAAAGUUUAUUUAGUAUAUUUGGCCAUGUUAAAGGGGAAGUAGAGAACAUUGGUCACUUUGUGUGAUAUUGGUGCUAAAUGAUAGCUAGUGAAGUAGUGAGUACUUUAGUGAAGACGGAAUUGAAAAUGGAUAAUCGAGUCGAAAGAUAUGCGAAUUUCAGACUAGGAAACUUAAGUUCCUAACUUGAUUAACCAUGCAUAUUUAAGUUUGUUUUUAUUAGUUUUAGUUUUAGAAUGGAUAAAUGAUGUUGUUUCGUAUUGAAUUGCUCCUAUUGUAGCUAAAAACGAAGCGAACAUCUUGAAGGAGAAAGACGAAGAAAAGGAGUAAAACGAUUAAUACUUCGGUUUGUGCUAAUAUCUUAUUUUCAUUACAUAAAGCUUUACAAUAUAUAGUUUACUAUGACUAGUUAUAUUGAUUUUAUUUUAUUUUAUUUUAUUUUUAUGAGUUUUGGAUGAGUUUGAAUGAUUUAGUUAAUAUUUAUAAAAUUAUGUUUCAAGAUGAAUACUAUGUUUUUCAUAUGAUUAAAUUAGCAAAUUCAUGGUUAUGAUUUGGAUUUGAGUAUUAUGAUUUUAGAUGAUUGAGUAAGAAAAUGAUUAAUAUGUUUUGAAUUGGAAGUCUAGUUUUAUAUUAGGCGAUAUAUGAUUUGAACCUGCAACAGAAUUGAAAUGAGAAUUAUAUGAAAAAGGAAUUGAAAUGGAUCAUGAAAUUUGGUUUUUACCUCGUUUCACUAAGUUAGACUAAAUCAGAUAUAAUUGAAAUAGAGAAUUUAGAUCUCUCCAAUUCCUAGAGUGUCGAGGGAGAAAAGACCAAGUCGGUCAGUUGUUAUUAUUGUUAGCCCCAAUUCCUAGAGGGUCGUGGGCAGUCCCAAUUCCCAGAGGGUCGUGGACUACUCUGAUAGCCAUCGUUGUCGAACAACUCAGGGUGGCGGAUACGUACAUCUGGUUAUGAGUCUAAACUUUAGUACGUGGUCUAAAUUGAAAGAAAAACAAAAACAAAACUUGAAUUUAUUUGAAUUUCCAUAUUGUGCAAAUUAAAUUAAUUAAUGCGAUUUUGAAUUUAAUUAAAAAAUUUAUUUUCGUUAUUUGAUUUGUCAAUAUCAAAAUAUUAAAGUCUAUUAAUAUUAGAAUUUUUUAUUGUGAUGUUAUUAAUGAUAAUUAUAAUCAUGUUUUAGUUUAUUUCUAUCAAUUAAUUUGUAUUCAAUACUUAUGUAAUGAUUUAUAUGAUAUUAGCACCAUUGAGCAUAAAAAUUGCUUAGCGUACGGUUUGUCUAUUUUUCUUUGCGUGGGUAGUUAGAUUCGCUAAAUUGUUGCAGUAGCAUCCGAAGAAUCGAAGUUCAGCUCAAACAAUGUUGGUGAGGAGUUUACUUUAUAGUUGAUGUAAAUGGCAUGUACUCAGGCUUGUAUAUAUAUAAUAUUAUGUCGUAAACUGAAUUUAAAUAUUUUCAUUAUGUUUUCUUUGCUAAUAUUUUAUAACUAAUGUUUUGGAUGAAAUAGUAAAGCGUAGAACUAGGUCGGGUAUAAGGUGUCACAAAGCGCAUCCAUUGAGUACCCCGAUGGUUGUAUGAUCCUUGGAUUGAAUUUGUCCUUGUGAGAAUGAUGAAUAUUUUCUUGGUCUUGAAGCAUCAUAUCUAAAUAACAUUGAUGUAUCUUGCAAACAACACAAGACCUGAUAUAACUUUUGUUGUAAACUUGUUAGCAAGAUUUAGUUAUUCUCCAACACGUAGACAUUGGAAUGGAAUUAAACAUGUAUUCAGAUAUCUCAGAAUGACCAUUAAUAUGAGAUUAUUUUAUUCAAAUGAUUCAAAAUCUUUAUUAGUUGGCUAUGCUAAUGUUGGUUAUUUAUCAAAUCCACAUAAAGGUUGAUCUCAAACGGGACAUUUAUUUGCAUGUGGGGGUACUGUCAUAUCAUGGCGUUCAACAAAGCAAACAUUAGCUGUCGCUUCUUCGAAUCAUACAGAAAUAAAUUGUAAUGCAUGAGGCACGUCGAGAGUGUGUUUGGCUAAGGUUAUUGACCCAACAUAUCCAGAAGAUAUGUAAUUUGCCUUUACAGAAAAAGAUGUCAACUAUCUUAUAUGAAGAUAAUGCAACAUGUAUAGUUCAAUUGAAGGGUAGUUACAUCAAAGGUGACAGAACGAAACAUAUUUUACCAAAAUAAUUCUUCACCCAUGAUCUUGAGAAAAGAUGUGAUAUAAAUGUCCAACAAAUUCAUUCUAAUGAUAAUUUAGCAGAUCUUUUUAUUAAGGCAUUGCCAACUUUAAUAUUUGAAAUACUACUACAAAAGAUUGGAAUACGUCGACUUAAAGAUGUAAUGUAAUGUUGACAUAGGGGGAGUCUAAAAACAAGUUGUACUAUUUUCCUUUAACCAAGGUUUUGUCCCAUUGGAUUUUCCUAGUAAAGGUUUUUAAUGAGGCAGUUUGUAAUAGAAGAUUGUGUACUAUUUUUCCUUCAUUAGGUUUUUAUCCCAUAGAGUUUUUCCUAAUAAGAUUUUAAUGAGGCACAUUAUCUACCAAUGAACAUCCAGGAGAGAGUGUUAUGAAUAUUUUAUUAAGUGAAUGUCCAUCAAGAUCAAGAUAAAUUUUGAUGUACUUUAAAUUCUGAUAGUCAUUAGAAUUAGAUCUCUACUUCAUUUAUACUUCUUAUGCCUAUAAAUAGAGACUUUGAAAAAGUAUUGUAAUCAUCCCAUCUGAUCAAUAAAAUACAUUCUCUAUUGCUUCCCAUAUUUCAUUUGUUCUUUACUAUCUUUAUCUCUCUUUAUUUUAUAAUAAAAACUAAUUAUUUUGUAAUUAAAAGGUCGUAAACAAAAAAAAAUGAAAAAUGAAAAAAAAUAAAUAAUAAAGGGUAAUUUUAUAUUUUUAUUUAAAAUACAUUGUCUAUAACCUUUGGAAUGCAUUUUUCAUCAAACCUGAGUAUUUUUCAAAUGUAUAAAGAUAAAUUUAGUCCGUAAUGUUUAUAUUUUUUUAUUAAAUUCAUCAUCAAAAUUUCAAAAAGAGUAGAAUUGUUGCUUUUUAACAGAAAUAUCGACUAAACGUUAAAAUUUUAAACAUGCCAGCUCAUAUGGCAAUCUAUGCGUACUUCACGUAUUUUUUUAAAUUUUUUAUUCUUUUUAAAUUAUUUCUUAAUGUGACAUGUACGAUAAAUAGUCAUGUCAACAUGAAGUAUACAUGAACUUCCAUGCAUGUUAUCACACUAACAUCGUUAAAAAAUUUUAUGUUUUAGACAAUAUUUCCAUUAAAAAAAUCAAAAUGACACUUUGAAAGCUUAAUGGUCAGUUUUAACUCAAUAAAAAAUAAGAGCUAAAUUAGCAAAAAAAUAUCAACAUUAAAGGCUAAAUCUAUGAUUAUGCAUUCUUCAAACCAUAGUGAUAGUUUAUAUAAUAUGUUUAAGUAGUUCAUAAAUAAUUAAAAAUUAGUAAAACGAAAAAGAAUAGAUUUUUAAAUAAAAAUAAAUAUAUUCAUUAGUUGUAGAAAUGCAGAGUUGUAAAGAGAUUAUAAGAAACCAAGGUUUCACUAAGUAGUUAUAAAUGGUCUGAUUAAAAAAGGGGAGGGGAUAUAUUAAUGUAAUGAAAUGCAAUGAAUUUAUGCCAUUAUGGCUCAAAGCAUGAAUUCUUUCCUGGAAGACAUUAGUGUCAAAGAUAUUUAUAGGGGUAUAGGUUCCAGUUGGAGCUGCAGAAAUUCAGAUACAUGGAAAUGUAUGUACCUGAUGAGUAAUAUCCAACGGUUGGGGAAGAAAGAGCUUAUUCCAGGCAGGGAGGAAAAUGGGGGCAUCUUUCUUCUUUAUGUUAAAAGGGCAAUAACCACAAUUAUUCGAGGCAGGGAGGGAAAUGGGGACCCUUUUGGUUCAAAUCAGUGUUUAUUCAACUAUGAAGCUCCUGCUGAUGUUGUGUUAUAGGAUUUCUUGCUUGCAAACAGAAUCAAAUACAUAAUUGAUUAUGAAGCAACUUUUAAAGCAGGAAUAGAACUUUUUCAAAGUCAUUGCUAAAUGAUGACAUGAUAUACAGAAAUUGGAAAUAUUCUAUCCAUUUCCCAAAUACACCAUGGGUAAUAAAUAGGAUACUAUAUACAUAAUUGUCACCAUCCAUCUACCGAUAUUAAACCCAAGGAGAUUGUUAAGCACUGUCAAGCUUUCAUCUUCUCCCUUGUAACCCAUCAUCUACUGCAUUACAAUCCCAGGCUUUCAAUGUGCCCAGAACGGUUUAGCCGGAGUGCGCUUCAGUGCCUUCACUGCCAAAGGAUUGCCCUUGCUCUGCCAAACAAACAACUGUUAAAAACUUCAAUUGAAACAAAUAGAAUGAAAGGAUUGAUGACUUUGGACUCAAGCGUACCAUCAAGCAGGUGCCUUCAUGUAUGUUGCACACAGGGUAGUCAUGAGGGCAGCAGCUGUAGCGAUCUUCGCAGCAAGUGGCAGCCUCGAGUGGGCAGCAUCCCCAAGCAAAGCAGUAGUUAUAGUACUCGUAUAUGCAGCAGCAGGUAUUGCUCUCGGGACAGGAAUAAUAACUAUCGCACACGGUCGGAGGUUUUAUAGGAGAUGGUGGAGACGGUCCGGGAUUGGGGGGAUUUUCACCUGUUUUGAUCGGAUAAGAGGCUUCCAUCGCGAUCCCACAUUUGCCAGUUACGGUAUUGGCCACAUUCCUUGCCAUCCUGAUAUAGCCUGCUUCUCCCCAGCUGCUUCCCCAUGAGUUCUUUACAAUCCAAUAGUCUUUACCUUUCUCUGUGCCAUAUCCAACAGCAGUGACACCGUGGUCUAGUUGUGUUCCACAUUUUCCAUCAAAUAUACC